ensembl:lncRNA
CCUCAUGGUUUGGUUGUUAUCAUGGCAAGCCAGGUAUUUUCUGCAGGUAGGUAGAUGAGGAAUUACUCAGGCAUUGAGGUGAGGUGGGGAGAAGGUAAAAGGAGGAGAAAAGGGAGGUGCCCUGCAGUGAGGAUGCACUUGAGAGAAAAAAUUAAAAAGAAAAGAUGCAUCAUGGUAUUUUCCUUUCUCUUUGCUUUCACUUACUUUCAUUUUUCUUUUUGUAGUUUGGAAAGGGUUUCUCUAUUGAUGAACACUCUAGGUAGACUAGGGUGGCUUUGAACUGACUGAGAUCUCCCUGCCUCUGCCUCCUGAGUGCUGGGAUAAAAGGUGUAUGCUAUUGCAGCAUGGCUCAGGAUUUUCUUUUUCCAACUAACCUGGGUCAAAUUUUGACAUACACAAAAUAAUUAUACAGUGUUUUUCUAAUGCAGCCCUGGCUUUGCCCCAAUUUCUGGCAAUGUGUUUCCAGCUUCCUGAGCUCUGAGAUUGCAGAAUUGCUAAAUGCCUGUGUAAUGGUGAAGUGUUCAUAACUAGCUUUUCACCACUCAUCAUUUUUCAUUGAAUAAAAUGGUCUUUGAGUAAAAUUUAAACUGUAUCUUACUACUUUGAAUUGCACAACAUCAACACUUUGAAAUGUUGGGAGUAGGCUGGGUGGUGGUGGGACACACCUUUAACCCUAGAACUUAGAUCAAAGAGGGAUAUGGAUCUAAAUGAGUUCAAGGCCUAACAGGUCUACAGAGUGAGUACCAGGACAAGCUCCAAAGCUAAACAGAAAAACAUUGUCAUGAAAAACAAACAAAUACUGGGCGUAGAUUUUGCAGUCUCUAAGAUUGCAUUCUUUGGGGCAGAGAGAUGGUUAUGUGAGUCAGUGAAAUUCUUGCAUUACCAUGGAUGAUUAGAUCAAUUCCUAAUUAUUUUUUUUUUGGUUUUUCGAGACAGGGUUUCUCUGUGUAGCUUUGGAGCCUACCCUGGCACUCUCUCUGGAGACCAAGCUGGCCUGGAAAUCACAGACCUCUGCCUGCCUCUGCCUACUGAGUGCUGGGAUUAAAGGCGUGUGCCACCAAUGCCCAGCUCAGUUCCUAAUUUUGUUUUGGUUUCUUCACACAGGCUUUCUCUGUGUAACGUCCAUGACUAUUCUGGGACUCUCUUUGAACACCAGGCUUGCCUCAAUCUCUCAGAGAUCCACCUGCCUUGGCCUCCAAAGUCUGCGAUUAAAGGUGUGUGCCACCAAACCCAGUUUGAAAACCUUCAUAACUUUUCCAAUAUAUAUUAAUUCAUAGCAAAGCUGCUAAAAUGCAUCCUGGGGAAGAGUCACUUCUUAGCACGUGGAGGUGACAUUGCUUCAAGUUUGCAUUCAACGAGAUUACAUAUGAAGAAGAAAACUCAAUGCAAAAAAAAAUUGAAAACUAACAAAAAAAAAACACAGACUCAUUGUUUUAAUGUUAUCUUGUCAGAGGCUCAUCAAAACAUCUGCAAACCAUGGCACUGUGUGAGCUAUAAAUUGAUAAUUUGCCUUAGCAAACAACAAAAUUCAAAUGGCUGAGGUAUUGUUAAUUGGAUAGUUUGGGAUCUCCUCAGCAUCUAAUUGCUUGUGUGGUGGGCCAUUCGGCUCCUUGUGAAUUCCAACUGAUAUAGGUCAUCAUCACAUACAAAGAAAGUUCAAGGCCAGUUAAGGAUUUAGUGGGAGGGUCUCUUGGAAUUAUGGGAAAAAGGUGGAGGACUGGGAGGGGCCUGGAUAGAAAAUAUAUUUAAGGCCAGGCACUUGGACUGGAGCUACAAACAGCAGCAGUGAUCUGGAGAAGACGAUAGGGCCUGCUGAUAGCCAGGGUAAGUUGCCUGUAAGGCUUCUGGGUAGAUUGCAGUGGUGGCAUGGCUCUACCACUUUGAACUCCCAAAUCAGUGUAAAAGUUGAUCCAUUCCUCCCAUAUAUCUUCACCACUAUGAGCUGUUGUUGUUCAAUUAUGCUAAUCCUUCCUAGGGUGGGGCAGUAGAGUGUGUGGGACCCUACAGUGGGAGGAUCUGUAGGAGGAGAUGGAAUAAAGGGUGGAGGAUGUGGGAGGGACCUGGAAUGAAAAGAAUUUAAGGCCGGGUCCUGGGAACAGAUAUUCCAGUACCAGCAGUGUUCUGGACAAGACGGGAGAGCCUGCUGAUAUCCAGGGUAAGUUGGUGACUCCGGCUUCUGGUUAGACUGUGUGGGUGAGAUGGCUGUACCAUUUUUUCUCUCAAACACUUUUCCCCCCAACACCUUCAGCAACAUGAUCUGUUGUUGGUUUUAUUUAUGUUGGCAUUUCUGAGUAAGAAAAAUAUCUCUAGGUAAUUUUAAUUCUCAUUGAUCUGAUGGCUAAAGUUGUUGCAUUUUGCUUUGGCCUUCUUUUAUAUUGUAUUUUUAUUCUAUAUUUGUUCUAUAUUCUGUAUUAUAUUUAAUUUAAAAUCUUACUUUACCUACAGAACCCAGUUACCUUUCCUCUGUUUUCCCCAUUAUCCUGAAUAUCACCCAAUCCUACACCUCAUCCAAUCCUCAUAGAGGGUGAGGCCUCACUUGUAGGAUCAUAAAAGUCAGUCACAUUAUUUUAGACAGGACCAAGGCCCUCCCUAAUGCAUGUAGGCUGAGAGAGUAUCCCUCCACAGGGAAUAGGCUCCAAAAUCCCAUUCAUGCAAUAGGGAUUAAUACUGGCUAAAAUGCCAGUGGUGCUAUGGAAUGCCCAAGCUCCCCAACUGACACUCAUGUUAAGGGGGCCUUGUCCUGUCUUAUGCAAGUUUGUCAACUGUGAGUCUGGUGUUUGUGAGGAACCACUUCAUCAGGAUGGCUGUUUGUGUGGGUUUCCCGAGCAAGAUCUUUACCCCUUUGCUCAUCAUACCUCUCUCUCUACAAGUGGGAUCCAG